CCUACGGGAGGCAGCAGUGAGGAAUAUUGGUCAAUGGGCGGAAGCCUGAACCAGCCAAGUCGCGUGAGGGAUGAAGGUUCUAUGGAUCGUAAACCUCUUUUAUAAGGGAAUAAAGUGCGGGACGUGUCCCGUUGUGUAUGUACCUUAUGAAUAAGGAUCGGCUAACUCCGUGCCAGCAGCCGAGGUAAUACGGAGGAUCCGAGCGUUAGCCGGAGUUAUUGGGUUUAAAGGGUGCGUAGGCGGCCUUUUAAGUCAGCGGUGAAAGUCUGUGGCUCACCCAGAGAAUUGCCGUUGAAACUGGGAGGCUUGUGUAUGUUUGAGGCAGGCGGCCUGCGUGUUGUCGCGG
rnacentral:rRNA from 1 species